AGCUUCAAAAUUGACGAUCGGCUCCGUUAAAUAUGAUCUAAACCAUUUAAACUACCUAGAAAUCAAAUUUCACGCACUUUCGAUAUUAUUCUUUUAUCCAUCAAGUGAAUAGAAAAAUGAAUGGCUGAAAAUGAAUACUCUUUAACAAAUGAUGAUAGGAGUCUUGUAAUCAAGAUCGAGUAUAGAUCUUGUUUUAAAUAGUUUAAAGAAUAUUCUAACAAAAAUUCAAUUGAUUUGGAUAUCUUUACGCCGGUAAACGAGAAAACGCCUCUUAUCGACUAUUAAAAUUACAAAAUUUGAAACCCUUUGAUCAUUAGGCAAAUGAUGUCGAAAAGAUUUGAAAUCUGAUUUCUAAACACUUUGAGUGGUAUAGAUCAUGUUCAAUGAAGCCGAUCGUCAAUUUGAAAGCUCUAUCAUCGAAAACAAAUCGAUAGUAAAACGGCUCGUUUACUACCGAUAGUAUUCUAGCUCAACUCUUUAUAUAUAUCUAUACUAUAUAUAAAAGCGUAUAGAAAUUCCGACAAUGACAGACGGAAUCCAAAAAGGAAUAAAAUAAUAUUACUUACGAAUGGUUAUGAUUAAUUUGAUAAAAAUAUCUCAAAUAAAAACAAACGGUUAUGAUUAAUCUAUUAAAUAUAAAAUAAUAUUCUCUACGAAUGGUUAUGAUUAAUUUGUUAAAAAUAUCUCAAAUCAAUAAGAACGAUUAUAAUCAAUCUAUUAAAUCUCUACUAUAUAAA
rnacentral:lncRNA from 1 species